GACGAACGCUGGCGGCGUGCUUAACACAUGCAAGUCGAACGGAAAGGCCUGCUUUCCCUUGUGGAUUGCGGGUACUCGAGUGGCGAACGGGUGAGUAACACGUGAGUGAUCUGCCCCCAACUUGGGUAUAAGCCUGGGAAACUGGGUCUAAUUCCCGAUAGGACUGCAGGGUGGUGCCUGUGGUGGAAAACGAUUUUCUAGUGGUUGGGGAUGAGCUCGCGGCCUAUCAGCUUGUUGGUGGGGUAAUGGCCUACCAAGGCGGCGACGGGUAGCCGGCCUGGGAGGGUGGACGGCCACAUUGGGACUGAGAUACGGCCCAGACUCCUACGGGAGGCAGCAGUGGGGAAGAUGGCACAAGGGGCGGAAGCCUGAUGCAGCGACGCCGCGUGGGGGAUGACGGCCUUCGGGUUGUAAACUCCUUUCGACCGCGAGGAAGCCACCUGGUUGGAAGGGUGGUGACGGUAGUGGUAGAAGAAGCACCGGCUAACUACGUG
rnacentral:rRNA from 1 species